UCGUAGUUGAAUUUGUGUCUUGCGCUGUCGGUUCAUCGCUUGAAUGCGGUGUUUAACUGGCACGUUGUGAGACGUCUUGCCGGAAGGGCAUGGUAUAUAUUUUGUUUAGUUUAAUUUUAAUUAAUGUAUAUGAGUGUUAAAAAUAUUAUUAUUAAUAAGGGUGUAUACAUCAUUGUGUGUGUGCAUUUCUUAUUUUAUAUUAUAUUAUAUAAGCUCAUAAUAUCAUUAUUAAAGUUACUAACAAUAAUGUGUACGUAGUCCGACUUUUCAAUCCUGUCUAGGUGCUCUUAAUUGAGUGUCGUGGCGGGCCGGCACGUUUACUUUGAACAAAUUAGAGUGCUUAAAGCAGGCUUAUGUUGCCUGAAUAUAGUGUGCAUGGAAUAAUGAAACAGGACCUCGGUUCUAUUUUGUUGGUUUUCUGAACUAACGAGGUAAUGAUUAAUAGGGACAGAUGGGGGCAUUCGUAUUGCGACGUUAGAGGUGAAAUUCUUGGAUCG
rnacentral:rRNA from 1 species